CAGGGACCAGCUUCAGAGGCCAGGCAAGAGGCUAGAUACGGACCCACUGCCCCCUCAUCAGGGACCCAGCAAAGACCCCACCUCCCAGAAGCUGUGCCAGCCCAGGAUUCCAUCAGUCACUCUGGCUGGCAUGGAGGACAAUUUUCCAUGAUCACAGCCAAGCCGUCUUCCCCAGGGGAGCACAGUGCUGGGAAUGGAGGCUGCCUGGGUCCCCUGGGGCUGAACCCCCAAGCCAGAGUGAAGGCGGGGGUGAGAUGAGAAAACUCACUCAAAGACAUUAAGCAGUGAUGCUGGAAUUCAAAUCCACAUGGGCCUAACUCCAACACUUUGUCACUCCACCCAGUGACUGACCUGUCUCUAGAACACUGAGACCACCCCAGAAAGGGAAGGAGAGAGUGGGGAGAUGAGGGUACCCUGGGCAGAAAAGGAAACGGGGUGAUACAGCCCUGCAUAAAUAAAUGGCAACCUUCAGGCAAGUCAGCAGUACCCCCAGCCUCCAAACAUAGAAGUGGCCAUCUCUCUGAGUGUCGGGGCUGUCUUUUCAUCUUUGUGCUUGCCCCAUAGGGAGUGUCAGAAUGUGUUUACUGAACACACACAUUUUGUGGACUCAUAGAGAUACCCAGUGUCACAGCUGGUCAGUGCAUAGCUAAGCACCCAGAUAAGUUAUCCUUGUUCUAUGUUCACAUCUCCUCUGGAGGCCAAAAGUAGGGAGGAGGGGAGGGGCCCAUGUGGAAGAAAGAAGCUGAGUGCAUAGAUAUGCCCAGUCCGCUCUUGGUGGAGAAGAGACCAAUCGAUCCUUAGUGGAACAAGAGCACCCAGCAGCAUCCUCUCUAGUCCCUCCACCUCUGGUCCAGCCACACACACUCCUUCCUGGCUUCAUGCCAUACGCCCUAACCACCCCAGUCUUCUGGACAGCCACAGUGUAGCCACUGCAGAGAGAAAAGCAAAAAAAAAAAAAAAAAAGUGUUGGCAGCUGGGGGGCAGAGGGACCCCCUGGGAGCUCAGCUAAGUGAAGACAAAGGAGUAGCCCACGACCACUGCAC
rnacentral:lncRNA from 1 species